UUAAUGUUACUUCAUAGGAUCAAUUAUAUAUGAUAUAUGCGGGUUCCUUGGACCGAAUCUGAUAUGCACACCAACCUCGAUGAUGAGGCUGAGUGUGAAUCUCUGAGCGGGGAAGAUGCUUCAAGACUUGUUUCUUGAGCAUUGAUGACCGUUCAUGUUGGUCCUCCAACAGUGAUGGAGGUUCACGCAAAGCUGAGACGGU